AACGAACGCUGGCGGCAUGCCUAACACAUGCAAGUCGAACGAGACCUUCGGGUCUAGUGGCGCACGGGUUCGUAACGCGUGGGAACCUUCCCUUAUGUUCGGAAUAACUCCCCGACAGGGGUGCUAAUACCGGAUAAUGUCUUCGGACCAAAGAUUUAUCGCCUUUGGAUGGGCCCGCGUUGGAUUAGCUAUUUGUUAGGGUAAAAGCCUACCAAGGCGCCGAUCCAUAGCUGGUCUGAGAGGAUGAUCAGCCACACUGGGACUGAGACACGGCCCAGACUCCUACGGGAGGCAGCAGUGGGGAAUAUUGGAACAUGGGCGAAAGCAUGAUCCAGCACUGACGGGUGAGUGAUGAAGGCAUUAGGGUUGUAAAGCUCUUUUAACCGGGAUGAUAAUGACAGUACCGGGAGAAUAAGCUCCGGCUAACUCCGUG
rnacentral:rRNA from 1 species